rnacentral:rRNA from 1 species
GUUUGAUCAUGGCUCAGGAUGAACGCUGGCGGCAUGCCUAAUACAUGCAAGUCGAACGGAGUGAAGCCUUCGGGUUUCAUUCAGUGGCGAACGGGUGAGUAAUACGCAGGGAACCUGGCCAUGGCAGGGGGAUACACUCUGGAAACGGAGCAUAAGACCCCAUAGGCAGUAAGGCGGCAUCGCCUUACUGUUAAAGAAAGCUGAAAGGCUUUGGCGAUGGAUGGACCUGCGGUGCAUUAGCUUGUUGGUGAGGCAACGGCUUACCAAGGCGAUGAUGCAUAGCCGGCCUGAGAGGGCGGACGGCCACACUGGGACUGAGACACGGCCCAGACUCCUGCGGGAGGCAGCAGUAGGGAAUUUUCGUCAAUGGGCGCAAGCCUGAACGAGCAAUGCCGCGUGAGUGAGGAAGGUCUUCGGACUGUAAAGCUCUGUUGCCGGGGAAAAAGGGGAAAUGCAGGAAAUGGCAUUUCAUGGAUGGUACCCGGCCAGAAAGCCACGGCUAACUACGUGCCAGCAGCCGCGGUAAUACGUAGGUGGCGAGCGUUAUCCGGAAUGAUUGGGCGUAAAGGGUGCGCAGGCGGUCUGUUAAGUCUGAAGGCAAAGGGAUGAGCUCAACUCAUUUAUGAUUCAGAAACUGGCAGACUUGAGGACAGGAGAGGGCGGUGGAACUCCAUGUGUAGCGGUAAAAUGCGCAGAGAUAUGGAAGAACACCAGUGGCGAAGGCGGCCGCCUGGCCUGUGACUGACGCUGAGGCACGAAAGCGUGGGGAGCAAAUAGGAUUAGAUACCCUAGUAGUCCACGCCGUAAACGAUGAGGAGCAGGUGUUGGGAGUGAAAUCUCAGUGCCGAAGCCAACGCAGUGACUCCUCCGCCUGGGGAGUAUGCACGCAAGUGUGAAACUCAAAGGAAUUGACGGGGGCCCGCACAAGCGGUGGAGUAUGUGGUUUAAUUCGAAGCAACGCGAAGAACCUUACCAGGUUUUGACAUCGGAUGCGAAGGCGCAGAGAUGCGCUGGAGGCUAUCAUCCAGACAGGUGGUGCAUGGUUGUCGUCAGCUCGUGUCGUGAGAUGUUCAGUUAAGUCUGGCAACGAGCGCAACCCCCGUGGUAUGUUACUAACGCAUUUGGGCGAGGACUCAUAUCAGACUGCCGGUGACAAACCGGAGGAAGGCGGGGAUGACGUCAAAUCAUCAUGCCCCUUAUGACCUGGGCUACACACGUACUACAAUGGCGUCUACAGAGGGAAGCGACCCUGAGAAGGGAAGCGAAACCGGAAAAGGGCGUCCCAGUUCGGAUUGAAGUCUGCAACCCGACUUCAUGAAGAUGGAGUCGCUAGUAAUCGCGGAUCAGCAUGCCGCGGUGAAUACGUUCCCGGGCCUUGUACACACCGCCCGUCAAACCAUGGAAGCCGGCAACGCCCGAAGCCGGUGGCAUAACCUUUUAGGAGUGAGCCGUCGAAGGCGGGGCCGAUGACUGGGGUUAAGUCGUAACAAGGUACCC